GGGGGCGAAAGGACUCGACGGAGGUAGUGAGGGCUAGGUUGCAUGCCGUGGUUCUCACCGCCACGUAAAAAAGGUGGGAAACACACAACUGCCAACAACGAAUUGGCACUCGCUGCUUAAUUAAAAGCAGCCGUCUUCUCAAGCUUUGUUCUGAGACUUGAGAAAGAUGUCAUAAAUCAGAGCUAAUCUUAAGUGUAUAACCUGGCACUUAAGAGAAAUUUAAGGGUUGUAGGGUUUUAGAAAGCCUGUUGGAGGGCGAGCUAAAAUCCGAAGCUUAAAACUCCAACUAAGCAUGUAGAUGCUUAGAAGUAGCACCUUCGGACGCGGGUUCGAUUCCCGCCGCCUCCACCA
rnacentral:tmRNA from 1 species